rnacentral:rRNA from 1 species
UUGAUCCUGGCUCAGAGUGAACGCUGGCGGCAGGCCUAACACAUGCAAGUCGAACGGCAGCACAGCAGUAGCAAUACUGUGGGUGGCGAGUGGCGGACGGGUGAGGAAUGCAUCGGAAUCUGCCUAUUUGUGGGGGAUAACGUAGGGAAACUUACGCUAAUACCGCAUACGUCCUACGGGAGAAAGUGGGGGACCUUCGGGCCUCACGCAGAUAGAUGAGCCGAUGCCGGAUUAGCUAGUUGGCGGGGUAAAGGCCCACCAAGGCGACGAUCCGUAGCUGGUCUGAGAGGAUGAUCAGCCACACUGGAACUGAGACACGGUCCAGACUCCUACGGGAGGCAGCAGUGGGGAAUAUUGGACAAUGGGCGCAAGCCUGAUCCAGCCAUGCCGCGUGUGUGAAGAAGGCCUUCGGGUUGUAAAGCACUUUUGUCCGGAAAGAAAAGCAUUCGGUUAAUAACCGGAUGUCA